UGGGGAAUAUUGGACAAUGGGCGAAAGCCUGAUCCAGCCAUGCCGCGUGUGUGAAGAAGGUCUUCGGAUUGUAAAGCACUUUAAGUUGGGAGGAAGGGCAGUAAGCGAAUACCUUGCUGUUUUGACGUUACCGACAGAAUAAGCACCGGCUAACUCUGUGCCAGCAGCCGCGGUAAUACAGAGGGUGCAAGCGUUAAUCGGAAUUACUGGGCGUAAAUCGCGCGUAGGUGGUUCGUUAAGUUGAAUGUGAAAGCCCCGGGCUCAACCUGGGAACUGCAUCCAAAACUGGCGAGCUGGAGUAGGGCAGAGGGUGGUGGAAUUUCCUGUGUAGCGGUGAAAUGCGUAGAUAUAGGAAGGAACACCAGUGGCGAAGGCGACCACCUGGGCUCAUACUGACACUGAGGUGCGAAAGCGUGGGGAGCAAACAGG
rnacentral:rRNA from 1 species